UUUCCCCAGUAUGAGUCUGAAUAAUUCAUACAUCGAAAUUACCCUGCUUUCACCUUUCUAUUUAAAGCGACAUGAUCUGAAUCUCUAAUAAAUUUUCAGGAUAAAGUAAAAUGCCAAUUUGAAUCUGAAGUGCUUGAAAGCAGAUGCUGAAUCCUGAAUCUUUCGAUAUCUUUCACUAUUAUGCGGCGAGGACUCCCCUUCUUCAUGAAGCUGCAUUACCAAGGAAAAUUACUGUGAUUACAAUAGCAACAAUAGAAUACCACGAAAUCAUCUCUAAUUUGCCUAAUUUUCAAAGACUGGCAUCCCUGCUUGAAUACCCCCCUGUCUUGCUACCCUGGAUCGAUAUUGUAUCGCAAGGAAAUAAUUAUACCUUUUUCUUUCUUCUUCUUCAUAUUUUGUGCAAAGUCUACAAAAACUCCCAAAUAAUGUAGUUUGGGGUCUGAGCGCACAGUCGAUAUGUUAUUAACUAUCGUUCUUGUUGAUUUGUCCAUGUUGAUGCUUUGUUAAUAGAUGGAAAGGGGGCAGAGUCUUUGCUUGGUGUCCUAUUGUGAGUGCUAAUGUUGGUUCCUUCUUUGCUUUAACAAAAUUUCUGUACAGGUGAAUUGUGAUUGGAUGAUACUGGCCCAGACAAUAGUCUAUGCGUUAUGUCUGUGUUCUGUUGGUAGUCUGCAGGUGUGCGGUGUUCGCAUUCUCAGUGUUUUCAUGUGUGCAAGUGUGGACUACUUUGAUUGAACUGCUGAAUGGCUAUGUUCACCUGCGUUGACAUCGAUAGAUAUGAUUUCUGUUAGGAUAAUUGAAUUUACGCUUGAAAUACGAAUCACAUACUCCUCCUAUGGAACAGCUUAUGUCCUGGAUAUGAGAAAGAUACGGUAAUAUGAAGGAAUAAUCCUGCUGAUCCAUUGAAGAGGAAGUUAAGGUUGCUGCUCCCAUGGUGUACAGAUAAGCUCAAGGUGCAAUGCUUCCAUAUGG